rnacentral:rRNA from 1 species
UACGUAGGGUGCGAGCGUUGUCCGGAAUUAUUGGGCGUAAAGAGCUCGUAGGCGGUAUGUCGCGUCUGCUGUGAAAGACCGGGGCUUAACUUCGGUUUUGCAGUGGAUACGGGCAUGCUUGAGGUAGGUAGGGGAGACUGGAAUUCCUGGUGUAGCGGUGAAAUGCGCAGAUAUCAGGAGGAACACCGGUGGCGAAGGCGGGUCUCUGGGCCUUACCUGACGCUGAGGAGCGAAAGCAUGGGUAGCCAACAGGAUUAGAUACCCUGGUA